rnacentral:lncRNA from 1 species
AUGCAGCGUUACCAUCCAGGAGCUCGAGGCCGAGGUCGACUCUGGCACCCUGUUGACAAGUCUAGAAAUUCAGCAGUAGAAAGAAACCAGGAUCAUCCACGGAUGCAGCGUUACCAUCCAGGAGCUCGAAGCCGAGGUCAACUCUGGCACCCUGAUGACAAGUCUGGAGAUUCAGCAGUAGAAAGAAAGCAGGAUCAUCCAGGGAUGCAGCGUUACCAUCCAGGAGCUCGAAGCCAAGGUCGACUCUGGCAUCCUGAUGACAUAACCAAGUCUGGAGAUUCAGCAGUAGAAAGAAAGCAGGAAAGUGGUAUUAGCCAUACAAAAGAAGAGGAGAGGCCAGGUGUGAUGGUUCACGCCUGUAAUCCCAGCACCUUGGGAGGCUGAGGCGGAUGAAUCACCUGAGGUCAGGAGUUCGAGACCAGCCUGGCCAAUAUGGUGAAACCCCGUCUCUACUGAAAAUAUAGGCAUGGUGGCAGGUGUCUGUAGUCCCAGGUACUUGGGAGGCUGAGGCAGGAGAAUCGCUUGAACUCAGGAGGCAGAGGUUGCAGUAAGCCGUGAUCUUGUCACUGCACUCCAGCCUGGGCAACAGAGCGAGACUCUGUCUCAAAAAAAAGAGAAGAAGAGUAGAGGACUGUGCAGCAAGGAGUAAGUUUUGCCUCAAAGCAGGAAUCUGAUCAGAGGUUCAGAAUUGGAAGUACAAUUUCAUUGUUUUUGCAAUUUCUAUAAAUUAAAGUGUCAGAAAAGUGACAGCGAGGACAUGCAUUGCAAUUUGCAGGGGGGAGUGUCAAGUGAGGACUUCGUCAUAUAUGACAUGAGAAAAAAGUAAGAGCUGGUUCUAAAAUCAAAAGCUGUUGUUCAUCCGAGACUGAGUUUCUAAAUUUGGGUGGAGCAGAGUCGCUUUGAAGUCUUGUUCCAAUCUAUUUCUACUGAAUUGCUAAUGUAACUGUUGACUUUGGGUAGUAUAGAAGCAACAAGCAUGUCCUUAUAGUACAAGUACAGGGAAGGAUAGAACAAACUUUCAUUGAUGCAAACAUUUAAAUAGUCAUGUUACUUCCGUAUCCAAUAUCCUCAAGUUUUAGGAUUAGUUUUAGUUUUUUAUUUGCUUAUCUAAGCUUGGCAUGAAGAAUAUUUUUAAACAUCUCAUUUCGUCUGAGCAUUUUUUCUAUUAAGAGGUGAAAUGUAGUCCUUGUUUGAUUCUUGACAAUCCAGUGUGUGUUUUAUCUUAGGUCUCAUGAUCUGAGUGCAUACCCUCUCCAGGAAGGAAACUGCACCAAUGUCUGUUCCUGUUAAAUAGCAACUUUUAGUCUCAGCUUGUUUUGUUUUGAUGUCAAUAAAUAGUAACAGCAUUCAAGUCUGAAGCUAAGUGUAGUGAGUAACUUUAGUAAAUAGCUGUGAAUUUUGAGAAAUUAAUUUUUUGAUACUGAAUUAACCUCUUUGGAGUU